rnacentral:tRNA from 6 species
AAUCCACUGCCUUGAUCCACUUGGCUACAUCCGCC